GUACACACCCCCAGCGAAGAGUCAGCGCAGCGCAGCAGGGGAGGCCGCGGCCGGCGGCGGGUACCCCAGCACGCAGCACACCGCACACCUGCAGCGCAGGGCAGCCGGCUGGUAACACACAGCAGCUGCCGGCUGUCUGCUGAAACUGGGCAGGAGCCUUUACCUGAGGCUGUCACUCGACAUAAAGAAGCCGUACCAAUAGGCUGUGUGCAUAUAUUAGGUCUCCUCACACCAGCAGCCUGGAUAAGCACGAACGGCUCCGAAACGAGGAUCUCAGAACAGCUCAGUAGUUAAUGAUCAACACCACUCCGAGGAGUGCGCAGCAUGAAAUACAUGCCCGGAUUUCAUUUCCAGUGGCAGCCAAGCGGGUUAAUGACUGUGCCACUGCAGGCAGCGAAGAAGAGAGAAGAAAAGGCACCUCAGAGCACAGGCACCUUUGAGGAGCGGUGCUGGGUGCAGGCGGGGGGCAUCGUGCGGGCAGCGGGGAGGCAGAGCACCGUGGCAUGCACGGGGUCACCGUCUGCAAUGGCCCGGACCUGGCCUUCACGUCGGCCCUUUGCUGACAGCACACCUCACGCCAUAGCCCUUAGAAACUUGGUGGGUAUUACCUUGGUUUAUAGCAGUAAGAAACCAAGGAAACUCUAAUCAGUCCAUUUGUAUUCAUUUUUGUACUACUUUAAGAUAAUAAUCACUUUGGGUUUAUAAACAGUUUUUGUGGAAGACCUAAAAUAAUUGUCCCUCAAAACUGCUGCGAGCUGCUGCAUCGGUACAAAAACACGGGCUUAAAGCUAAAGGCAAAGUUAAAGGUGUCUGGCCAGCACGUGGGACUUCAUAGCUAUCUAAAGUACUGCAUUCCUUAGUCAGUGGAGGCGGUGGGCCGUGUCUCUGGGUUAGGAGGAAAUGAUCAAUGCAGGAUUGUUCUCUUGAUGUGCAACUAAACAACAUUAAAGUGGGUUCCAAC